UGUGAAAACACUGUUUUCUAAUACAAUACAUUGUGUUGAAUAUAAUGCAUCCAUAUCAAUAUAUAUAAUCAAUAACAAAAUGUAAUUGGUGUUUAUAUAAUUGUACAUCUUGAUACAAUGAGAACGACUAAUGUCUGUCUCUUCCCACAAACCCUUUCAUCAGUCAAAAUGUCUGCUUCCUUGAGUUGUCAGAGUGUGAUAUUGGUGACAAACAUGUUGACAUUCGUUCAAUAAUUUGUUCAAUAACGGUUUGAGAUUAUUCUACUUUAAAGUGUUGUGAUAUAUUCUAACGAUGACCCAGUUAUUUUGAUACGUGAGCGAGGCUUUGACAAAUAGCGUGUUUCUAGGCUAGCCAAUUAUAUAGCAGCUAACGUUAUCCAAUGUUUACUUGGCUCUUGCUCGCGUCUUUGUUUUCACACCUUUGCCCCACAGAACGCGCUUGCCAGAGUCGGCACUUCGAUAUACAAUAACUCUGCAACACGAGCACUUCAUGUCACUGCAGCAUGCUGCAAGAAUCGUGCAGCUCGUAUUCGGGUGGGGAAGGAGACCGACCACUAACCUAUGAGCAAGCACUCCACCCCCACCACAUAGGACACCGCAAGCUGCCUCUCCCAGCACACUAGUGAGUCACUGUCUAGUUUCCCCCACUUAUCUGACCUUGUACAAGAUAACUCGGUGUAUAGCUAUCAACAAAGUUACUGUCAAUACUCUGGGCUAGGUUACAGACCAUAGUGAUCAGAUAGAAAUGCUGACCAACUUGAUCAUUGUGUGUCAAAGGAGACCUAACCUUUCUCCCUCCAUCCCGUACUGUGGAAGACGUGUACAACGUUUCCUCUUCGGAACUUUCCAUAACUGCCUGGCCAAUGAGAUUGUGAUAAAGCGAAGAGGCAACAUGCUGGUGGUGUGUACCCUGAUGCUACAGAUGUUCUACACUACAAGUGUCCUGUUAAGAUGGAGGGACAGACCCUGGAGGAUAAGGCUGUCUACAAGUACCUCUGAGACAGGAAUUGCUAACAGAUUUGACUUUCAAUACUUUUAUUUUUUUACCUUUAUUUUACUAGGCAAGUCAGUUCAGAACAAAUUCUUAUUUUCAAUGACGGCUUAGGAACAGUGGGUUAACUACCUGUUCAGGGGCAGAACGACAGAUUUGUACCUUGUCAGCUCGGGGAUUUGAACUUGCAACCUUCCAGUUACUAGUCCAACCACUAGGCUACCCUGCCGCCCCACUUGUCAUACAGGACUAUUUGGGGGAAACUCACCACCAUACAGUUGUAAAAAAUAAAUUGUAUUUUAAUGAGUCUAUUAAUCUAUCUACAGUGUGUGGAAACCAACUAUUGAGUGUGCCUUGGAGUUGGCUCUUCACAGUAGGAAUACAGACUACCAGAUAGUGUUAUCUUCAGGUGAAACGUCAACUUAGUGAAAAUAAAUCUAAUGUAUACAAGUGACACGCGUCUCUAUCCUACUUGGCAGACAAUCUGUUCCAACAUAGUACAUUUCUCUUAAGGAGAAGGAAGCGAGAAAGGUAGGAAAGCGUGUCACAAAUAGGCAUUGGGUCAGAUUCAAACCCACGUAGUUAGUGGUAGGUACGUGCUCCAUAGGUGCUGGUCCUGACAACCAGACCAUACAUUUUCCAGAGCAUUCUGUAACACAUUGCACCCUCCUGAACAGGCCCCAUUGUUUUUCCAUCUCCUCUUUGAAUUGGAUUCCAUUCCAGUCUAGAACUAUUCACUACUUGUAAAUCAUGUGUUGGAGUUAAAUGGACUUAUGAAAAACUCAGUGGAAUGCUUUUUCAUUUAUUGAUUUCUCAUGAUGCGGUCACAUUGAACAAAGCAUUAAAAAGCUGCUUCAGUGCAAAAAGACAAGGCACACAGAUUACAUCAUCUUCGUCCAUAUCAAAGGUUAGAGUAUGAACAAUUCCCUUAAAUAUCAGUGAUAUAUUCCUGUCUGUAAGGCCACAUUGAUUUUUCAAAACAAUUAAAACAAUUCCACACGAAUAUAACAUUUGUCUGAUCUACAUCUAGGAAAAUGUCCCUCUUGAUU